rnacentral:rRNA from 1 species
CCUGGUUGAUCCUGCCAGUAGUCAUAUGCUUGUCUCAAAGAUUAAGCCAUGCAUGUCCAAGUAUAAACAAGUGUUUACGGUGAAACUGCGAAUGGCUCAUUAAAUCAGUUAUAGUUUAUUUGAUGAUGACUUGCUACAUGGAUAACUGUGGUAAUUCUAGAGCUAAUACAUGCGAUCAAAGCCCUGACCGUCCGGGAGGGGUGUAUUUAUUAGAUAAAAGACCAGCGCGGCUCGCCGCUCGCUUGGUGAUUCAUAAUAACUGUUCGAAUCGCACGGCCUUGUGCCGGCGAUGCUUCAUUCAAAUAUCUGCCCUAUCAACUGUCGAUGGUAGGAUAGAGGCCUACCAUGGUUUCAACGGGUAACGGGGAAUAAGGGUUCGAUUCCGGAGAGGGAGCCUGAGAAACGGCUACCACAUCCAAGGAAGGCAGCAGGCGCGCAAAUUACCCAAUCCCGAUUCGGGGAGGUAGUGACAAUAAAUAACGAUAUAGGGCUCUUUCGGGUCUUAUAAUUGGAAUGAGUACAAUUUAAAUCUCUUAACGAGGAACGAUUGGAGGGCAAGUCUGGUGCCAGCAGCCGCGGUAAUUCCAGCUCCAAUAGCGUAUAUUAAAGUUGUUGCAGUUAAAAAGCUCGUAGUUGAACUUUGGGCCUGGACGGGCGGUCUGCCGAAAGGUGUCGUACUGUCCGGCCGGGCCUUUCCUCUUGGUGAGCCGGGGUGCCCUUUGUUGGGUGCGUCGGGGAACCAGGACGUUUACCUUGAGAAAAUUAGAGUGUUCAAAGCAGGCCUAUCGCCGGGAUACAUUAGCAUGGAAUAAUGAAAUAGGACGUGCGGUUCUAUUUUGUUGGUUUCUAGAGUCGCCGUAAUGAUUGAUAGGGACAGUUGGGGGCAUUAGUAUUCAGUCGCUAGAGGUGAAAUUCUUGGAUUGACUGAAGACUGACUACUGCGAAAGCAUUUGCCAAGGAUGUUUUCAUUAAUCAAGAACGAAGGUUAGGGGAUCGAAAACGAUCAGAUACCGUUG